GGAUGAGGUAGGAGACGGUGGUCUUGCCCGCACCGCUCGGGCCGACGAACGCGGCGUACUGGCCGGGCUCGAUCGUGAACGAGACCUCGUCCA
rnacentral:tRNA from 1 species